rnacentral:rRNA from 1 species
GACGAACGCUGGCGGCGUGCUUAACACAUGCAAGUCGAACGGUAAGCCUCUGCGUAUGUGGUCUGUUGGAGAGGGGAGCGUGACACUAACACGAGCUUCCCCUGCCCCUGACUUAAGGCCAAGAACUGGGAACUAGUACCAAUACUGCAUCGCUUCUCCCGUUGCAGGGUGGGGGUAGGAUAGCUGCGUCGGUUGGGGAUGGCCUCGCGGCUUAUCAGCUUGUUGGUGGGGUAGUGGCUUACCAAGGCCUUGACGGGUAGCCGGCCUGAGAGGGUGACCGGCCACAUUGGGACUGAGAUACGGCCCAGACUCCUACGGGAGGCAGCAGUGGGGAAUAUUGCGCAAUGGGCGGAAGCCUGAUGCAGCAACGCCGCGUGGGGGAUGACGGCCUUCGGGUUGUAAACCUCUUUCGCCUGGGACGAAGCGUAAGUGACGGUAAUUGGUAAAGAAGCACCGGCUAACUACGUG